rnacentral:rRNA from 1 species
UGGGGAAUAUUGCACAAUGGGCGCAAGCCUGAUGCAGCAACGCCGCGUGAGGGAUGACGGCCUUCGGGUUGUAAACCUCUUUUAGUAGGGAAGAAGCGAAAGUGACGGUACCUGCAGAAAAAGCACCGGCUAACUACGUGCCAGCAGCCGCGGUAAUACGUAGGGUGCGAGCGUUGUCCGGAAUUAUUGGGCGUAAAGAGCUCGUAGGCGGUCUGUCGCGUCUGCUGUGAAAACCCGAGGCUCAACCUCGGGCCUGCAGUGGGUACGGGCAGACUAGAGUGCGGUAGGGGAGAAUGGAAUUCCUGGUGUAGCGGUGGAAUGCGCAGAUAUCAGGAGGAACACCGAUGGCGAAGGCAGUUCUCUGGGCCGUAACUGACGCUGAGGAGCGAAAGCGUGGGGAGCGAACAGGAUUAGAUACCCUGGUAGUCCACGCCGUAAACGUUGGGCGCUAGAUGUGGGGACCAUUCCACGGUUUCCGUGUCGCAGCUAACGCAUUAAGCGCCCCGCCUGGGGAGUACGGCCGCAA